rnacentral:lncRNA from 1 species
UGCCCCUCCUCACCACCUUCCUCCAUCUGGAUUCUGACAGUGUUCACUCUGCUUCCUGCGCGCUCUGAUCGCGUGUAACAAGUCGCGGCUGUUGGCGUUCAAUGGCACUGCUAUAGUAAAAUCUCGUUAAUUCGGAUUUCACGGGACCGAAAAAAUGUCCGAUUUAAACAAUAAACAAGUGCUUUCUACGUCAACACGCUUUUAUUUACUGAAUGAAUCAGCAGAAUCCUGUUUCUAUUUGCACAAAAUCAGUGCGGAAACUGCAAUUCUUGUCAGCUUGUGACUGAUUAGCGUUCCAAAUCAAU